AGUGAACGCUGGCGGUAGGCCUAACACAUGCAAGUCGAGCGACAGCACAGUAAGAUCUUGCUUUUACGGUUGGCGGGGGGCGGACGGGUGAGGAAUGGAUCGCCAUCUUCUUUUUCUGGGGUAAUAACGUGGGAAAACAGACGCUAAUACCGCAUACAUCCUACGGGUGAGAGCAGUAGUGCUUGAGAGCUUUCCCGAUUCAAUUAGCCGAUGUCGCGUUAGCUUGUUGGCAGGGUAAAGGCACACCAAGGCAACGCUCCGUAGCUGGUCUGAGCGGAUGAUCGGCCACACUGGAACUGAGACACGGUCCAGACUCCUACGGGAGGCAGCAGUGGGGAAUAUUGGACAAUGGGCGCAAGCCUGAUCCAGCCAUACCGCGUGGGUGAAGAAGGCCUUCGGGUUGUAAAGCCCUUUUGUUGGGAAAGAAAAGCAGCAGGUUAAUACCCCGCUGUUCUGACGGUACCCAAAGAAUAAGCACCGGCUAACUUCGUG
rnacentral:rRNA from 1 species